UGCAGGGAGCAGCGAAUGCUUAGUUGGUAAGAUGUCAAAAAUCACCUAAGUGGUCAAGUUCAGCGCUGCUGUAAACAGGCAAGCUUCCAUUGAACUCCUUCGACAAACAGACCUGUCCCUGUACUGACGUCAGGGAGACAACUCACAAUAAUUCUUCUGCUCUGGAGUUUCACAUCUACCAGAUAUUUUCACAACCAGAAAGCAUCUCUUCUCAUGCUUUACUGCCACAGACUUCCACAUGAAGAAAAAUUGAAAAGAUUAGGGCUGUUAUAUUUAGAGAAGAAACAAAGAAGAAGGAAUAUGCUAGAGAUACAUAAAAUAAUAAAUGGUGCAGAGCAGAUUCUUUUGAACUGGACAGCAGAUUCAACAAGUUCCAAAAAAGAUUGCUUUAAGUACAUGAGAGACAAGAUCAGACAAGACAGAAUACAGAUGCUACUACUCACAGGGUUAGAACGGGCCUAUGAAUUUUGGUGGUUCAAUAUGCUGGUCCAGGCAGCAUAAACUCCAGUACUUCUGCCCAACCUUCCAGAACUUUUAUCUCAAGAACAGGAUCAGAUUCUACACCUCAAUCCAAGGUGCCCAAGUCUGAGAACAAAGAUGCCAGCUGGCUGAGCAACUUGGACUGCGAUGGCUCUGUGAGAGUCCAGAAAAUCUGCUCUGUAAAAUUCAAGUGGUUCUUCAUCUGGGCAAAACAAAAAGGAUCUCAUCCUCACCAGUCUUCCAUUUUCUUUAAUCUGGACUAUCUCUUCACUUUAAAAUAAUCUGGUCUCUCCCACAGUUCAUGCAUUUAGAAGAGAUUUCACAAGUCAAAAACCACUAUAGAACUCUUCUGUCUUCUAUUUUUAAAGGUUUAAUUUCAAGUGUUGCCUCCUUUCUCAGAUAUAAGUAAAUGUGGUGCUUGCCAAAUUAAUGGAACCACUCUCUGAGCAAUUGCCAUAAUAGGCCUUGGAUUCUCUCAAUUAAGAUUGCAUUUGUGGAGAGUUUGCAAUAUGUAGGCCCUAAUGAGAGACCUGCCAUAUUCAGUUUUAUAAUGAUAACCUGGUCCUUCCCUCAUACUCCACAUUCAUGUGAAAAGUGAUCUCUGUGUCCCGAUCAAUUUUCCAGUAGUUUCUUCCAAGACCCUCUCUACUAGGAGAGGGUAGGCUACACUUUCUAGCUACUAUCCAAACAAAACCAAGUAAUUCCACAAAACACCUAGUUUGUUUGUAAUACAGGAGAUAAUAAUAGAGGGCAGUCAAUUUCCACUCAGAGAUUGUCCAAGAGGAUUAGGUUCUGCAUAUUCUCUUGUAUUCCAGUACCAACAGGUGCUAAGGCAUAUUACACCAGGUUUAAGGAGCCUCCACUGCAUGUCUCAGAAAUGCCCCCUUUACUGAGAUAUAAAAGGCUCACACCUUCAUAGGGUGACCAGACAUCCUGAUAAAAUCAGGACCAUCCCGAUAUUUAGGUGUUUGUCCCACGUCCCAACUGAUCUUUGGUCGAGACGCAAUUUGUCCCGAUAUUUCACUCCGUCCACAGCACUCAGCCUUUUUUUUUUUUUUGCUCCACCUGCGGAACCCUCCCCCCCCCAUGUGUCCCGAUAUCUUCUUCCUCUCAUCUGGUCACCCUACACCUUCAUGAAGCAUUAGACUACCCUUGAGGCUAAGAUGUUCGGUCUGGGAUAGCACUCUUGCAAUCUAUCCAAGUAAGGCUCCUCAGACCCACCUCCUUUGGGUCUGGGGAUUGUUUUUAAAUCAAUUAUAGUGGGGAAUUGUUGAAGAACAAGAAUGGUUACUUACCAAGUUAAAUUGUGGGGGAUUGGGAAAGAUUGCCUGCUUACAUAGAUCUAUGCUACCUGCUGUCCCUGUUAUUUCAAUCUUAUACUCGAUUCUUGAUUUAGUGAAAGGAAAUGAUCUCUUCCUGGGGAAGAAGAGGGCAUAAGUAGGGUGCACAUCCAAUACCAGUGGGCAAUGCUUUCCAAAAAGGUCCAGGUUUAUGCACCAAUGGUGCACACAUCACAAGUAGAAUAUCUAUGCAAAGAAUUUGUCAAAGAGUCACAAAUACUGUUAUGACCCAGGGACCUCCUGGUGCCAACUGACAGAGGGCACAGGGGGAUGCAUACAGUUUUACAAGGUCAAAUACAUGUAUAUUAGUUCACCAAAGUGUGGCAUGUGAGGUCUCUGCCAAAAGCUAGUAGCCCACUGGUCAUCAUAAUUGUUGCAAGAAAUUUGUAUAGGAAAUAGUUCAAGAAAUAUGUAAAAUAUAAAAUAUUAGGUUCCAAAACGGUUGAAGCAAAGCUUGUGACCUGAGGCGAGGUGAACCUCAGAGCUAACUUUAUCAGCAUGUAGAACAAAAAACAUCCAUGGAGACAGGCUAUGUUUCCUAUCUGAGCCAGGUGCAGACCUGAGAAUUUACAGAAACAAAGGAACCCCAAGAUAAGUUUCUGAAAAGGGGACCUCCUGGGGUAAUUAGAGACAAUAGUCUGUAACUGCAUUUCAGAAAA